UACGAAGGGUGCAAGCGUUACUCGGAAUUACUGGGCGUAAAGCGUGCGUAGGUGGUUGUUUAAGUCUGCUGUGAAAGCCCUGGGCUCAACCUGGGAAUUGCAGUGGAUACUGGGCGACUAGAGUGUGGUAGAGGAUAGUGGAAUUUCCGGUGUAGCAGUGAAAUGCGUAGAGAUCGGGAGGAACAUCAGUUGCGAAGGCGGCUCUCUGGACCAGUACUGACGCUGAGACGCGAAAGCGUGGGGAGCGAACAGG
rnacentral:rRNA from 1 species